UAUCACUAAGUCCCUGCACGACGUGUGAUGGCAUCAGUACUCCAUUCCUCAAUGCGCACGAGAGUCACCUGGAAAGCUUUCAAAAUCUCUCUUAUGCUCCACCUCCAAACAACAGCACCAGAAUCUCCGGGGAAAGGACCCAAGCAGAGGUAUUUACGAGACGGUUCAUUGUGAUUUAGUACUAGAUGAUCUCAAAGGUCCCUUCUGACUUGGAAAUCCUCUGCAUCUAUGAAAUCUUCACCCACCGCCCCUUCCUGAGGGUUGCGGGGGACACUACGGAGGGUGCACGUAACCGGAGGGAGGCACAGACGAUGCCUCGCCAGGACCUGCUGUUCCGCUCUGGCAGUGUCUUUGUGAAAAUAGUAACUUUUUUUUUUUUUCGGACUGAUUUAUGUGACAGUUGGAAAGCAGCCCCCAGAACAGGCUGUUCCUCCCCUCGGUACUAUUAACGUAAAUAUGUGCGCAGGGCCUUCGGCUCCUGCUUCUCUCUGUGUAAACGAGGCUUAAAGGGGCCGUGAAAGCCUGAAGAGAAACCAGAGGAGAGGAAAUGUCAUUAGAGGCACAAGAAUGAAAAGGGGAAAAGGACAGGACGUUGCUAAGAGACAAUGUCAAGCUGGGCCAUGGGAUUAACAGCCGGUAUCAAAGCAAGUCCUUCUUAAUGGGUCACUGUUGUCUCUUCUCUUCCCCUUCCUCCCCCUCCUCCCUCCCCUUCCCCUUCUCCUCUUUCCUCUGUCUUUCUGUCUCAACUUGGAUUUCAGUUUACUCCAGGGUGAAAUGCACAGAAAAGCAUCAUUACAAGGUGGUCUCACCUGCAUUGUGAACCUGUGGCAGAGACCCCAAGAGGGACACCGUAAUGAGACUUUCGUAAACUACCCCGGAGUCCUGAGCUGGCUGCGUGCUCCGGUGCCUUACGAGAGGGAAAACUGUCAUUGGGAGCAGCAUCAAGGGUGGCACCCCAUGACCAUGCAGGCUCACGAAGAGGGAGCAAUGAUCCAGGUCACACAGAGUCAAGGCCAAACACUGAACCCCGAGUUCCUCAGGGCCCUUCCUGGUGACUCCUUUACAUUCAUCACACUUCGAGGAGUUCCAUACGGAAGGCCCAUUCUGGAAUGAGUGUGGUGAGGAGGGCAUCGUUCCAGUGUUUCUCAAAUGGUACCCAGCAGAUGCCUUGGCAUUAAAUCAGCCUCAUCCCCAAGACCAAGAGUGGCUGGACCUCAAAGAGCCGUUGAGGAAGCUGAGAACAAAGGCAGCUGGAGUUUGACUUUAUCCCACCCAGAUGACCCCUCUGUGAGCCUCUGGUUAUUCUAUCCUGAACGCGAGGUGAACGUGUAGAAGUCUGGGGUCAUGGCCUAGGAAGCCAAGUUCUUGUGGGACAAUAAAAAUCCGAACCAACUGCUGGCCCUGCUGGGUCCAUCUGUUAUUGGAAUUAAGUUCCCCAUUUCAUUUCAUUCAAACUGAAGAAACUUUCUGGCACGGUGUCAGGUUUCAAACAGAAAUGUCAGCCAAGGGUUCAUGAGGCCAAGGUCUGAUCAGAGCAAACUUGAAUCAAUUUACGCAUUAGGUAAAAAUUCAUAGGCAAGUUAGUGGUCUGGCGAGCCUUUCUGUUAAAAAUAUUCCUCAUUUGCAUGUUCUGGACUAAAAACCUGCAAGAAGCUGUGUAUAAAAUCAACAUCAGAGGCCAACAUGACUUCUACCCAAUGUGAGCGUACAUCUGUAGAUGAAUGUGAAGGGCCCACCAGAGUGACUUUCUUCCCCAGUAUAAGAGCAGAAAAGAACUUGAACAUAUUCUCAACUCCAGUUUAAACCUUGA